UACGAAGGGGGCUAGCGUUGCUCGGAAUCACUGGGCGUAAAGCGCACGUAGGCGGAUCUUUAAGUCAGGGGUGAAAUCCCGAGGCUCAACCUCGGAACUGCCCUUGAUACUGGGGAUCUCGAGUCCGGAAGAGGUUGGUGGAACUCCGAGUGUAGAGGUGAAAUUCGUAGAUAUGGGGAGGAACACCGGUGGCGAAGGCGGCCAUCUGGACGACAACUGACGCUGAGACGCGAAAGCGUGGGUAGCAAACAGG
rnacentral:rRNA from 1 species